GGUGACGGGAGCACGCUGCACUUCCGGGUUGUGCUCACUGCUGUGAUUUGUCUGUUCUGGCGUCAGAUCUUCGGCUGGCAGGUCCAUUCCACCUCCUUGCCGAGGUAAUGCAAAGAGAGUAGCACUGAUAGCUGUCUGUGCACUUUGCAUUCUUGAAGCAUCUUCCCUCAGGAUCGACUCAAAUGCUGUUUGAACGUUGCUGAGAGCUGAAGGUGGUGGUGUUGGUGUCCGGGUGGUGGUAUCCCU